rnacentral:rRNA from 1 species
CGAACGGACGAGAAGCUUGCUUCUCUGAUGUUAGCGGCGGACGGGUGAGUAACACGUGGAUAACCUACCUAUAAGACUGGGAUAACUUCGGGAAACCGGAGCUAAUACCGGAUAAUAUUUUGAACCGCAUGGUUCAAAAGUGAAAGACGGUCUUGCUGUCACUUAUAGAUGGAUCCGCGCUGCAUUAGCUAGUUGGUAAGGUAACGGCUUACCAAGGCAACGAUGCAUAGCCGACCUGAGAGGGUGAUCGGCCACACUGGAACUGAGACACGGUCCAGACUCCUACGGGAGGCAGCAGUAGGGAAUCUUCCGCAAUGGGCGAAAGCCUGACGGAGCAACGCCGCGUGAGUGAUGAAGGUCUACGGAUCGUAAAACUCUGUUAUUAGGGAAGAACAUAUGUGUAAGUAACUGUGCACAUCUUGACGGUACCUAAUCAGAAAGCCACGGCUAACUACGUGCCAGCAGCCGCGGUAAUACGUAGGUGGCAAGCGUUAUCCGGAAUUAUUGGGCGUAAAGCGCGCGUAGGCGGUUUUUUAAGUCUGAUGUGAAAGCCCACGGCUCAACCGUGGAGGGUCAUUGGAAACUGGAAAACUUGAGUGCAGAAGAGGAAAGUGGAAUUCCAUGUGUAGCGGUGAAAUGCGCAGAGAUAUGGAGGAACACCAGUGGCGAAGGCGACUUUCUGGUCUGUAA